AACUGAUCGAUUUCCAUCGAAGCCUCAUCAAGUGCCUUCUUGAUCUUCGACAGCUCCUUCCAGGCAGCAGCUUUCUUGUUCAAUUUCUUGACCCUCUUCUCUCGAUCACUUAUGCAAGACCUAAUCCUUAUAGCAAAAGCCAUCAGUAGGGGCUUGGCGAUAGAAAUGGAAGGGAUGUAACCAUCGAGGACAUGCUGAUAUGACUAAACAAACAAAAGAAGCAUAGCAUAAAUUUAAAAAAGGACAAAACAUUGUUUCACUAACAAUGACUUUUCUAUAGAAGGAAAAGAAAAGAAAAAGUAUAAGGCAUCUCACCCUCCAACCUCACCCU
rnacentral:lncRNA from 1 species